ensembl:lncRNA
GUUUCCUUCCUCUGGUUUCCUUCCUCUGAUACAUUUCUUGCUGGUGUUGCCUCUAACAAAGAUUCAUGGGAGGUAUGACUGAAAAUUACCCUGAAGUUCUUGACUAUUUCUAUAGCGAAUAUGUCUAUUGCAAUAAUUCAGUCUUUACUUGCACACUCUCAAAGGUUUGCUUCAGUCUGUUAUUAUAUUAACAAUGUCUUUCCACACAGGUUUAAUUGUGACAGCAGGAGAGCAAUGGCAGAGCUGGCACGUCUUGUCUUCUCAUCAGACCUGGGAAAUUUUGGUCGUAGAAUCAUAGACUUGUUUGAUUUGGAAGAAACCUUUAAAGGCCAUCUGGUCCUACUGCCCUGCAAUGAACAGCCACAGCUGGAUCAGAUUAAAUGUUAUCCUUGGUCUUCUGCUUGCCUGCCAAGGAGAUGUCAGUGGACCUUGUAUGGGCAGGUGAACACAGAUUCCUUCUUCUCUGGGGCCUCUUGGGAGAGGAAAUCUGAUGCAAUUUGGAAGGUGAAGGAACAGCCCUGAAAACUUCACAGCCCCAGGGAAGGAAAGGGAAAGACCCGCUGGCUCUGAUUAAGGAAGCUAAAGUCCCACAAGAAGCUCAGGUACAGAAUCACAGAAUCCUUAAAGUUGGAAAAGACCACUAAGAUCAUCUAGUCCAACCGCCAACCCAUCCCCACCGUGCCCACUCAAAGAAUCACAGGAUCAUUAGGAUUAGGGAAAACCUUGAGAUCCGAAGACCAACCGCAUGCACAGAGCUGUACGGACAUUGCUUUAAACACCCUGUAGGCAUGCAUUUUCUUUGUCUUUUCUCCUCCACUGGCUACAACACUAACUGAAGAUCCUCUAAGGUAGCUGCUCAAUCUAAGAGCUUCUGGGAGACUUUCCAGCGACACAAAGUUCAGUCUAAAAAUGUUGGUCUGUUUUGACUGAGCUAUUUCACUCAGCAUGCAGUGAACCUCCCCCAGCGUAAGGAGGGGUCUUCCCUUCAGUCCUCAGGUGAUAGGAGUGGAGAGUUUCCCAGCCCUGUGCUGGCUCAGAGAUAAGAAGCCAAGGGCAUCAAACUCUCCAUGGGACUCAUGAGGCCAACAGGAAUGCCAGGUUCCCUCAACACUUGCAGACACCAAAUCCAAUCCACCACCCUGAAUUUUGUUUGUUUGUUGGUCUAGGUUCCUUCUGGCUUCCUUCUGAGUCACCACUAACCCCGGAUAAAAAUAAACAUGAAAUAU